rnacentral:rRNA from 1 species
AUUGAACGCUGGCGGCAGGCCUAACACAUGCAAGUCGAACGCGUGGCGGACGGGUGAGUAAUGUCUGGGAAACUGCCUGAUGGAGGGGGAUAACUACUGGAAACGGUAGCUAAUACCGCAUACCAUCGGAUGUGCCCAGAUGGGAUUGGCUAGUGGGUGGGGUAAAGGCUCACCUAGGCGACGAUCCCUAGCUGGUCUGAGAGGAUGACCAGCCACAAUGGAACUUAGACACGGUCCAGACUCCUACGGGAGGCAGCAGUGGGGAAUAUUGCACCAUGGGCGCAAGCCUGAUGCAGACAUGCCGCGUGUAUGAAGAAGGCCUUCGGGUUGUAAAGGACUUUCAGCGGGGAGGCGUUACCCGCAGAAGAAGCACCGGCUAACUCCGUGCCAGCAGCCGCGGUAAUUC